CCUACGGGAGGCAGCAGUGGGGAAUAUUGGGCAAUGGAGGCAACUCUGACCCAGCAAUGCCGCGUGAGUGAUGAAGGUAAUGUUAGUGUAAAGCUCUUUUCUUGGGAACGAAGAAAUGACGGGACCAAAGGAAUAAGCCCUGGCUAACUACGGGCCAGCAGCCGCGGUAAUACGGAGGGGGCAAGCGUUGUGCGGAAUGACGGGGCGUAAAGGGUGUGUAGGUGGUUGGAUCAGUGAGAUGUGUAAUACCCAGGGCUUAACUCGGGUGCUGCAUCUAAAACGGUUAGACUUGAGUACUGGCGAGGUUAGUGGAAUUCCUAGUGUAGCGGUGUAAUGCGUAGAUAUUAGGCGGAACCUCAGUGGCGAAGGCGCCUCUCUGGACAGCAACUGACACUGCGGCACGCAAGCGUGGGGAGCAAACAGGAUUAGCUACCCUUGUAGUC
rnacentral:rRNA from 1 species